GACUCCAGUAAUGCAUGUUAUGGUGGAACAACCUCCCUCUUGAAUUGGUGUAACUUCGUCGAAAGUCGAUGUUGGGAUGAAUGUUACGGCCUUGUAGUCUGCACAAAUAGCACGGUUUAUGCAGAGGGGCCAGCUCGGCCUAUGGGUGGAGCUGCUACAGUUGCUAUGCUUAUUGGUCCAAAUGCAUCUAUUUCUUUCGAAAGCAAAUAUAGAGCUUCUCACAUGACUCAUGUUUACGAUCUCUACAAGCCUCAUCUUGCAAGUGAAUAUCCGGUUAGGGUUCUAUCACUUGUUUUUGUUUGUUUGUUUGUUUUAGGCAUCUAA
rnacentral:rRNA from 1 species